AACGAACGCUGGCGGCAGGCUUAACACAUGCAAGUCGAACGCCCCGCAAGGGGAGUGGCAGACGGGUGAGUAACGCGUGGGAAUCUACCCAUCCCUACGGAACAACUCCGGGAAACUGGAGCUAAUACCGUAUACGCCCUUCGGGGGAAAGAUUUACCGGGGAUGGAUGAGCCCGCGUUGGAUUAGCUAGUUGGUGGGGUAAAGGCCUACCAAGGCGACGAUCCAUAGCUGGUCUGAGAGGAUGAUCAGCCACAUUGGGACUGAGACACGGCCCAAACUCCUACGGGAGGCAGCAGUGGGGAAUAUUGGACAAUGGGCGCAAGCCUGAUCCAGCCAUGCCGCGUGAGUGAUGAAGGCCUUAGGGUUGUAAAGCUCUUUCACCGAUGAAGAUAAUGACGGUAGUCGGAGAAGAAGCCCCGGCUAACUUCGUGCCAGCCGCCGCCGUAA
rnacentral:rRNA from 1 species